AGGAGGAGGAAAGAGAUGGAGAUUGCUGCAGCUGUAACACCAGAAAGGUUUUCAGCAACAGGAGACACAGUGUGCAAGGGAGUCAGUGAGCAAGUGAGAGACUGACCUGAUUCCUCACAUACGAGGAAACAGAGGGGCUUACUCCUAUUUCUACAACAGAGGCAGCAUGGCGGAUGCUCUUCCUGACAGCAUCAUCACAAAAGACUAUUGGAUUCCUAUUCUUUUCAUCUAAGCUAGAGC